rnacentral:rRNA from 1 species
UACGAAGGGGGCUAGCGUUGCUCGGAAUUACUGGGCGUAAAGCGCACGUAGGCGGCUUUCUAAGUCGGGGGUGAAAUCCUGGAGCUCAACUCCAGAACUGCCUUUGAUACUGAAGAUCUUGAGUUCGGGAGAGGUGAGUGGAACUGCGAGUGUAGAGGUGAAAUUCGUAGAUAUUCGCAAGAACACCAGUGGCGAAGGCGGCUCACUGGCCCGAUACUGACGCUGAAGCACGAAAGCGUGGGGAGCAAACAGG